rnacentral:rRNA from 1 species
GAUGAACGCUGGCGGCGUGCCUAAUACAUGCAAGUCGAGCGAACAGACGAGGAGCUUGCUCCUCUGACGUUAGCGGCGGACGGGUGAGUAACACGUGGAUAACCUACCUAUAAGACUGGGAUAACUUCGGGAAACCGGAGCUAAUACCGGAUAAUAUAUUGAACCGCAUGGUUCAAUAGUGAAAGACGGUUUUGCUGUCACUUAUAGAUGGAUCCGCGCCGCAUUAGCUAGUUGGUAAGGUAACGGCUUACCAAGGCAACGAUGCGUAGCCGACCUGAGAGGGUGAUCGGCCACACUGGAACUGAGACACGGUCCAGACUCCUACGGGAGGCAGCAGUAGGGAAUCUUCCGCAAUGGGCGAAAGCCUGACAGAGCGACGCCGCGUGAGUGAUGAAGGUCUUCGGAUCGUAAAACUCUGUUAUUAGGGAAGAACAAAUGUGUAAGUAACUAUGCACGUCUUGACGGUACCUAAUCAGAAAGCCACGGCUAACUACGUG